UUACAUCUCUUCGGAGCAUUUUACGUAGGUGCUGCAUGGUUGUCGUCAGCUCGUGCCGUGAGGUGUCGGGUUAAGUCCCAUAACGAGCGCAACCCCUACCUUUAGUUGCCAUCAGGUAAUGCUGGGGACUCUAAAGGAACUGCCUACGCAAGUAGUGAGGAAGGCGGGGAUGACGUCAAAUCAGCACGGCCCUUACGUCCAGGGCUACACACGUGCUACAAUGGCCGAUACAGAGGGCAGCUACCUGGUGACAGGAUGCAAAUCUCCAAAGUCGGUCUCAGUUCGGAUCGGAGUCUGCAACCCGACUCCGUGAAGUUGGAUUCGCUAGUAAUCGCGCAUCAGCCAUGGCGCGGUGAAUACGUUCCCGGGCCUU
rnacentral:rRNA from 1 species